rnacentral:rRNA from 1 species
GAUGAACGCUAGCGGGAGGCUUAACACAUGCAAGUCGAGGGGCAGCAUUCACUUCGGUGAGAUGGCGACCGGCGCACGGGUGCGUAACGCGUAUGCAACCUACCUUAUACAAAGGGAUAGCCCAUGGAAACGUGGAUUAAUACCUUAUAGUACUAUAAAGCUACAUAGUUUAAUAGUUAAAACUUCGGUGGUAUAAGAUGGGCAUGCGUCUGAUUAGCUGGAUGGUGGGGUAACGGCCCACCAUGGCGACGAUCAGUAGGGGUUCUGAGAGGAUUAUCCCCCACACUGGUACUGAGACACGGACCAGACUCCUACGGGAGGCAGCAGUGAGGAAUAUUGGUCAAUGGACGAGAAGUCGUGAACCAGCCAUCCCGCGUGCAGGAUGACGGCCCUAUGGGUUGUAAACUGCUUUUCUACGCCAAGAAACCUGUUUACGUGCAAACAGUUGACGGUAGCGUAGGAAUAAGACCGCUAACU